CCUACGGGGGGCUGCAGUAGGGAAUAUUGCUCAAUGGGGGAAACCCUGAAGCAGCAACGCCGCGUGGAGGAUGAAGGUUUUCGGAUUGUAAACCACUGUCCCCAGGGACGAAGAUGACGGUACCUGGGGAGGAAGCUCCGGCUAACUCCGUGCCAGCAGCCGCGGUAAUACGGAGGGUGCGAGCGUUAAUCGGAAUUACUGGGCGUAAAGCGCUCGUAGGCGGUAUGUCAAGUCAAGGGUGAAAUCCCCGCGCUCAACGUGGGAACUGCCUUUGAAACUGGCAAACUGGAGUGUGUGAGAGGAUAGUGGAAUUCCAGGUGUAGGAGUGAAAUCCGUAGAUAUCUGGAGGAACAUCAGUGGCGAAGGCGACUAUCUGGCACAUAACUGACGCUGAGGAGCGAAAGCGUGGGUAGCAAACAGGAUUAGAUACCCCAGUAGUC
rnacentral:rRNA from 1 species